CUCGUAGGUGGCUCUGUAAGUCGGAGGUGAAAGACCACGGCUCAACCGUGGAAACGCCUUCGAAACUGUGGAGCUUGAGGCUGGGAGAGGAGAUCGGAAUUCCUGGUGUAGCGGUGAAAUGCGUAGAUAUCAGGAGGAACACCGGUGGCGAAGGCGGAUCUCUGGACCAGUUCUGACACUGAGGAGCGAAAGCUAGGGGAGCAAACA
rnacentral:rRNA from 1 species